rnacentral:rRNA from 1 species
GACGAACGCUGGCGGCGUGCCCAAUACAUGCAAGUCGAACGAGAGCGACCGGUGCUUGCACUGGUCAAUCUAGUGGCGAACGGGUGAGUAACACGUGGGUAACCUGCCCAUCAGAGGGGGAUAACAUCCGGAAACGGAUGCUAAAACCGCAUAGGUCUUCGAGCCGCAUGGCUUGAAGAGGAAAAGAGGCGCAAGCUUCUGCUGAUGGAUGGACCCGCGGUGCAUUAGCUAGUUGGUGAGGUAACGGCUCACCAAGGCCGUGAUGCAUAGCCGACCUGAGAGGGUGAUCGGCCACAUUGGGACUGAGACACGGCCCAAACUCCUACGGGAGGCAGCAGUAGGGAAUCUUCCGCAAUGGACGCAAGUCUGACGGAGCAACGCCGCGUGAGUGAAGAAGGUUUUCGGAUCGUAAAACUCUGUUGUUAGAGAAGAACAAGUGCUAGAGUAACUGUUAGCGCCUUGACGGUAUCUAACCAGAAAGCCACGGCUAACUACGUG